GAUGAACGCUGGCGGCGUGCCUAAUACAUGCAAGUCGAGCGAACGGACGAGAAGCUUGCUUCUCUGAUGUUAGCGGCGGACGGGUGAGUAACACGUGGAUAACCUACCUAUAAGACUGGGAUAACUUCGGGAAACCGGAGCUAAUACCGGAUAAUAUUUUGAAACACAUGGUUCAACAGUGAAAGACGGUCUUGCUGUCACUUAUAGAUGGAUCCGCGCUGCAUUAGCUAUUUGGUAAGGUAACGGCUUACCAAGGCAACGAUGCAUAGCCGACCUGAGAGGGUGAUCGGCCACACUGGAACUGAGACACGGUCCAGACUCCUACGGGAGGCAGCAGUAGGGAAUCUUCCGCAAUGGGCGAAAGCCUGACGGAGCAACGCCGCGUGAGUGAUGAAGGUCUUCGGAUCGUAAAACUCUGUUAUUAGGGAAGAACAUAUGUGUAAGUAACUGUGCACAUCUUGACGGUACCUAAUCAGAAAGCCACGGCUAACUACGUG
rnacentral:rRNA from 1 species